AAUGAACGCUUGCGGCAGGCCUAACACAUGCAAGUCGAACGGAUCCUUCGGGAUUAGUGGCGGACGGGUGAGUAACGCGUGGGAACAUACCCAAAGGUACGGAAUAGCCUCGGGAAACUGGGAGUAAUACCGUAUGUGCUCGAAAGAGGAAAGAUUUAUCGCCUUUGGAUUGGCCCGCGUUGGAUUAGGUAGUUGGUGGGGUAAUGGCCUACCAAGCCGACGAUCCAUAGCUGGUUUGAGAGGAUGAUCAGCCACACUGGGACUGAGACACGGCCCAGACUCCUACGGGAGGCAGCAGUGGGGAAUCUUAGACAAUGGGGGAAACCCUGAUCUAGCCAUGCCGCGUGAUCGAUGAAGGCCUUAGGGUUGUAAAGAUCUUUCAGGUGGGAAGAUAAUGACUGUACCACCAGAAGAAGCCCCAGCUAACUCCGUGCCAGCAGCCGCGGUAA
rnacentral:rRNA from 1 species